UCUGACGGAGCAACGCCGCGUGAGUGAUGAAGGCUUUCGGGUCGUAAAACUCUGUUGUUAGGGAAGAACAAGUGCUAGUUGAAUAAGCUGGCACCUUGACGGUACCUAACCAGAAAGCCACGGCUAACUACGUGCCAGCAGCCGCGNGUAAUACGUAGGUGGCAAGCGUUAUCCGGAAUUAUUGGGCGUAAAGCGCGCGCAGGUGGUUUCUUAAGUCUGAUGUGAAAGCCCACGGCUCAACCGUGGAGGGUCAUUGGAAACUGGGAGACUUGAGUGCAGAAGAGGAAAGUGGAAUUCCAUGUGUAGCGGUGAAAUGCGUAGAGAUAUGGAGGAACACCAGUGGCGAAGGCGACUUUCUGGUCUGUAACUGACACUGAGGCGCGAAAGCGUGGGGAGCAAACA
rnacentral:rRNA from 1 species